AGAGUUUGAUCCUGGCUCAGAGCGAACGCUGGCGGCGUGCUUAACACAUGCAAGUCGAGUGCGCGGUAGCAAUACUGGCGCACGGCGCACGGGUGCGUAACACGUGGGCAACCUGCCCUUCAAUGGGGGAUACCCCCGCGAAAGCGGGACUAAUACCGCAUGAUAUUCCUGGAACUCCUGUUUCGGGACUCAAAGCCGUA
rnacentral:rRNA from 1 species